rnacentral:rRNA from 1 species
AGUGAACGCUGGCGGUAGGCCUAACACAUGCAAGUCGAACGGCAGCACAGUAAGAGCUUGCUCUUACGGGUGGCGAGUGGCGGACGGGUGAGGAAUACAUCGGAAUCUACUUUUUCGUGGGGGAUAACGUAGGGCAGCUUACGCUAAUACCGCAUACGACGUACGGGUGAAAGCAGGGGAUCUUCGGACUUUGCGCGAUUGAAUGAGCCGAUGUCGGAUUAGCUAGUUGGCGAGGUAAAGGCCCACCAAGGCGACGAUGCGUAGCCGAUCUGAGAGGAUGAUCAGCCACACUGGAACUGAGACACGGUCCAGACUCCUACGGGAGGCAGCAGUAGGGAAUCUUCCGCAAAGGGCGAAAGCCUGACGGAGCCACGCCGCGUGGGUGAUGAAGGUCUUCGGAUCGUAAAACUCUUUUAUUAGGGAAGAACAUCUGUGGAAGUAACUGUGCACAUCUUGACGGUACCUAAUCAGAAAGCCACGGCUAACUACGUG